AGAGCAGGCUCUUGACAUCUUUUGAAUAAAUCCUAGGUGCCUGCUAUAAGGUGCUUCAUUUUAUUUCAUUUCACUUUAUCUUCCCAGCAACCCCAUGAGGUAAGUAUUAACCCUCAAUGUAUGAGGAAAUCAAAGUUCAUAGAAGUUGACCGACGCGCCCACAGCAAACAAGUGGGGAAUCUUCCCUUUCUGCUCUGUGGUUUCCAGCCCUGGCCACAGAAUAGAAUCCCCUAGGGAGCUUUAAAAACAACAGGUGCUCAAGUCCCAUGCCCAGAGCAUCUGAUUUAAUUCAUUAGGAAUGGGUCUCAAAUCUUAUUGGUGGGUUACACCAUAUUCAAAUAGAGGGCACCUAGAUCCCGGGAGGAAAAAAAAAUGCCUUAGAGUUUUCAUUUCAUCUUUACUCCAACUCUGGGAAGUCAAGCCAUGUGACUGAUACUCAGCUAUGUAAGUGAUGCCAGUAAGUCUCAGCUAGGGUGGAAAAAUCAGGCUGACAACUGAGCAUUUUCGUAGCUCAUAAGUGCUUUUAGCCUAUCUACGAAGUUAUACCAAGUCUCCUAGGUAACUGGGACUAUUUUCAUUAAACUAGGAAAUAUUGAGCAGAGUGGAUGGUGAAUUGCAUUGAGAUUUUCAUCUCCUGGCAGCUCCUUUGUUGGGGGGUUGGAGGUAACUUACCUCUCUGUGACUCAGCAUGCUUCCCCAGUCACCAAAGGAGGAGGAAAGAAGAGAGCACUGAGUGGCCUUACAGGGAAAAUUUGGAGGCAUGAAUCAAUUAGUCCAUGUUUAUGAAGUGCAUUGUGCUCCUUGAGUAAUAAUAGAGUGCCAGGGCCUGGUAUUAUUAGUUUUCACACAAGUCCCAAGAUUAAUUGGUCCUCUCAACCUCAGUCCCCAACUCACUAGUUCUGCUUUGUGUCCAUCCUAAGUUACUUUCCUGGCAGAAAGCAACAUCUGGGCUAGAGCUCUCCCUGUGGAGAGGCGAAGGGACCCAGUGCAUCCUAUAGCAACCCUUCUACCCAAGAUGGACUCCUCUGAGCUGGAAUUCACCUUCUGCUAACUCCUUGGCAUUUGUUUAACACAGGCCAAGUAACCAGAUCAAAAACUGAGGCUGCCGUCACAUCCAUGCUGUUUAUAACUAGGCAGAUUCCUUUUAUAAAGCACAAAUAACUUCAAAACAUUAGGCAAUCAAGGCCUCAACUUAACAGGUGGGAAGGGUCUGCACUUUAUAACUGCAUGCCUCUUUAGCAUCAUCUUCCCUUGCUCUUCUAUUUCAGCAUAAAGUCAACACAAAACCAGUUGCUUUUCAUAAGUGAAGCCAUUCCUUUCUUGAAGUGCCAUUUCCUGAACAAAGAAUGUAACAAUAAUCAGCUUCUCACAAUCAAGUGAGUCUUGAAUAUGCCUGGCCUUAUGACAGAUUGCUGUUUUGUUAAGGAAACCAUUGUUGAAUGUGUUUGACUUUGACAAUGUAUAGUUUUAAAUUCAAAUCCAGAAGAUUUAUGUAUUUGCCCUUGUUUCUAUUACAGAAUCUAAGGAUAUUAAGGUGAGAGGGAAGCUUAGGGACCUAAUCAAAGUCCCUCAUUUUAAAAGAAAACUGAAAUUCAGGAAAAUGAAGUGACCCAUCCAAGGUCAGUCUGAGUGUCCUUAGUUCUCCUCUUUUCCUUAUUCCACUUUCUCUCUCUAGAAAUUUCAUGUGGUCCCAAGUUUAAAUGACCCUCACCUAUUACUAAGUCCCAGACCUCUCCUCAGAACUGUGGUUUUCUAUCCCAAGCCUCUCCUCUUAUCCCCAAGUCCUAAGCCUUCUCCAUCCCAAUAUUUUGCAUCACUACUUCAUACCUUCUCAGGUCCAAAGACCUUCCAUUAUUCUUUCAUGUUCCAUUUUUCAUACACCCUAUAUCUAGGUUGGCAUUUGUCCUAAAUUAAUUUAGGAUAUGGGUUGUAUGAGGAAUGGGACCUCUACUCCCAAAAUAAAUUACAAAUUCAACCCUUUUCUUUACCCCUCUGCUAUAACCCUAGUUCAUACUACAGUCAGCUCCUGCCUAUUUGAAUAGCUCUGUAAGAGUCUCCCUCUUUUCACUCUUUCCCUUUCCUGUACAUCUACCAUGUGGUAAUAAGAGUGGUCUUUCUAAAGCAUCGAUGCAUUGUCUCACACCCCUGCUUAAAAUCCCUAACACUUCAAAUGCGACUUGAACUCUUUUUCUUUCUUUUCUUUCUUUCUUUCUUUCUUUUUUUUUUUUUAACUGAAACCUACAAUCAUGGCGGAAGGCACCUCUUCUCAGGGUGCCAGGAGAGAGAAUGAGUUUUGAGUGAAGGAGGAAGCCCCUUAUAAAACCAUCAGAUCUCGUGAGAACUCACUCACUAUCAUAAGAACAGCAUGGCAGAAAUCAUCCCCAUGAUCCAAUUAUCUCCACCUGGUCCUACCCUCGACACAUGGGGAUUAUUACAAUUCAAGGUGAGAUUUGGGUGGGGACACAGAACCAAACCAUAUCUCUGGGAGAGACCACAAUGAGCAAAAAUUGCACUGUAGCAUCAGUUCCACACAUGUGAGUACAUACUAUAUACAAGGUCCUUUACUGAGGCCCUUCUGUGUGUCAAGCAUCAUGCUAAACAUAGUACAUUUAAGCCUUGAAAAAACCUGUAAUAAGAUGUACAUACUCUUAUAUAGAGUAUAUAGAUGAGGGAACUUCAGGCCAGAGAACUAAAUAACUUUCUGAAGAUCGUACAACCAGGAAUUGCCAAACUAGGAUUCAAGUUCAGAUCUUAAAGUCUCAAAGUCUCCCACAAAUCUAGGUCCUGGGGGGACACUGAGCCCCCAGAAACUUCCACUGAAGUUAGUGAGAUAGGCAGAAAUAUGUUCAUUGACAAGAAGAGGAAAAUCAGUAGGGAAGUUGGUUACGAGGAGGAAGUGUUGUGUUUAGCCUAGCACACAUUGGAUUUGAAGUUAAGGAUGGAGUGUCCAGGUGGGGAUAGCCAUGAACCAGAGAGAAAUAGGAAUGUGAAGGUCAGGAGAUAGCCCAAGGCUCAGGCUGCUGAGAUAUGGAGAUAAGAGUCAGAUUUCUACAGGUAAUUAUAAAGCCUUUAACAAGAGGUUGGGGAGACAAGUAAGGUGACCACCCAUGCCUAGGUCUAUCCUAAUUUUAGCACUGGCAGUCCCAUGUCCCUGGAAGUCCCUCAGUUCCAGGCAAACCUGGACCACUGGUCAGGCUAGAAGACAGUAUUUAAAGAGAAGGCAUACAGGCCAAGUAUGGAAACUGGAGAAUAUUUAUGCUUAAGGGAAUAAAGACAGGGACGAACUUGCUAAAGAGAGUGCAGUCAGAAAGGUAGACGUGACCAAUGCAUGCUGGGCUCUUGCUGUGAAUUUGGGGCUGGGAAUUCAGGUGGAAGGCAUUGAAAGGAGAAGUCUCCAUCAGAGAGGGCUGUGAGGAAAGUAGAACCAUCAGAUAAAACCUGGAUUUCCAUUAGGGCCAGGCAGAGAAAGGAACUUUGUGGAAAGAUGGAAGACAGGACAACUGGAAGAUACCAAUAGUUAUACCCACAAGAAGGCCUGAGACUGGAGAGGAGCUGGGCUGAGUGGGGAGGAGAUUGCAGGAGGACUUGCUUUUCUAACUGGGGAGAAGGGCGUAUCUCAAUGGCAUGGAGGAAGGAGCCAGGCUUGGACCUUUGGCCUUGAAUCUUAUCCCCUUCACUCAAUAGCUGCGUAAUUUUGGGCAAAUACUUUCCCCUCUCCGAGAUUCAAUAUCGUCUACUGUAAAACAGAGAUAAUAAUAUCCACGACCUUGCAAUCCUAGAAAUAGGAUUGCAUUUAGAUCUAGGUAGCAAUUAGUGGUAAUGUACAAAGCAGGCUGUCAAUAAAAGGUUUCAUUGCUGGGUUAUCAAAUUUUUUUUUUACUAAUAUUGUGAGAUUUGUCAGGGGCAACAUAUAAAUAUCAGAAGAAAUUAACUAGGCAGAAUUCUGUUGUUGAAGGAGUUUCAGGCCUUGUGUUUCUGCUUAAAUAUCACCAGGCUGACUGUGAUGGAACUGUGAGGCACCCAGC
rnacentral:lncRNA from 10 species